rnacentral:rRNA from 1 species
GAUGAACGCUGGCGGCGUGCCUAAUACAUGCAAGUCGAGCGGAGAAGUCGCAAGGCUUCUUAGCGGCGAACGGGUGAGUAACGCGUUGGUGACCUGCCCCGAAGUGAGGGAUAGCAGUUCGAAAGGACUGAUAAUACCUCAUGAGUUCCUUGGAGUUAGGGGACCGAGGAAGAAAGGAGAAAUUCGCUUCGGGAGGGGCCUGCGUCCCAUCAGCUAGUUGGCAGGUUAACGGCCUACCAAGGCGAUGACGGGUAGGGGACCUGAGAGGGUGGCCCCCCACAAUGGAACUGAAACACGGUCCAUACACCUACGGGUGGCAGCAGUAGGGAAUAUUGCAUAAUGGGCGCAAGCCUGAUGCAGCAACGCCGCGUGUGCGAUGAAGGCCUUCGGGUCGUAAAGCACUUUUUGGGAGGAUGAGGAAGGACAGUACUCCCAGAAUAAGCCUCGGCUAACUACGUGCCAGCAGCCGCGGUAAAAC